CACGGGUGCUCGGUGAGAUUCCGGGCUGAGAUGCAGGCAAGCUGCGACCGUAGAACCUGAUCCGGGUAAUGCCGGCGCUAGGGAGGAAGAAAAA
rnacentral:ncRNA from 1 species